CAGGGAGACAACAAAAUGUUUAAUAUUAUUAUUUUGUCACCUUAGGUCGAUCGGUAUCUCACGUUUUUAAUUUAUUGAAAAUUUCAUUUCCUAAGUUUUUCUAGGUCACACCCAUUAUUUUUCCUGGGCCAUUAGCUCAGGUGGUUAGAGCGCACCCCUGAUAAGGGUGAGGUCCCUGGUUCAAGUCCAGGAUGGCCCAUGUCUCUAUGUUGGGGGUAUAGCUCAGUUGGUAGAGCGCCUGCUUUGCAAGCAGGAUGUCAGCGGUUCGAGUCCGCUUACCUCCACUGAUUACCACCUCUUCCAUAACAGGUAGAAAGGAAAUGUUUUGGGUAGUGAUCAAAUUCUGAAAGAAUCUAGCUUCCUAAUGAAAUCAUUAAGAUGCUGGACUCAUUGAAUUAAUUUCAUUGUUUUCAGAGAACCUUGACUACUGCAUAGAUUAUUUUUAAAGACAAUAAGCAUCUUUAAUGAUGCAGAUUUAUUAUUUGUGCGAAUGCAUUAAUAACAAUUCUAUUAAGCUGAUGCUUCAAUUUUUGAAGUUAUU
rnacentral:tRNA from 1 species